ACUCAAAUGAAUUGACGGGGACCCGCACAAGCAGCGGAGCAUGUGGAUUAAUUCGACGCAACGCGAAGAACCUUACCUGGGUUUGACAUAUAACUGACAACCAUGGAAACAUGGCCUUCCUUCGGGACAGUUAUACAGGUGGUGCAUGGCUGUCGUCAGCUCGUGUCGUGAGAUGUUGGGUUGAGUCCCGCAACGAGCGCAACCCCCGUCCUAUGUUGCCAGCAUUUAGUUGGGGACUCAUAGGAGACUGCCGGUGACAAACCGGAGGAAGGUGGGGAUGACGUCAAGUCAUCAUGCCCCUUAUAUCCAGGGCUUCACACGUGCUACAUUGGCGCAUACAAAGGGCUGCGAUACCGCAAGGUGGAGCCAAUCCCAAAAAGUGCGUCUCGGUUCGGAUUGGGGGCUGAAACUCGCCCCCAUGAAGGCGGAGUUGCUAGUAAUCCCGGAUCAGCAAUGCCGGGGUGAAUACGUUCCCGGGUCUUGCACACACCGCCCGU
rnacentral:rRNA from 1 species